GAUGAACGCUAGCUACAGGCUUAACACAUGCAAGUCGAGGGGAAACGACAUCGAAAGCUUGCUUUUGAUGGGCGUCGACCGGCGCACGGGUGAGUAACGCGUAUCCAACCUGCCCACCACUUGGGGAUAACCUUGCGAAAGUAAGACUAAUACCCAAUGAUAUCUCUAGAAGACAUCUGAAAGAGAUUAAAGAUUUAUCGGUGAUGGAUGGGGAUGCGUCUGAUUAGCUUGUUGGCGGGGUAACGGCCCACCAAGGCAACGAUCAGUAGGGGUUCUGAGAGGAAGGUCCCCCACAUUGGAACUGAGACACGGUCCAAACUCCUACGGGAGGCAGCAGUGAGGAAUAUUGGUCAGUGGAAGAGAGUCUGAACCAGCCAAGUAGCGUGCAGGAAGACGGCCCUAUGGGUUGUAAACUGCUUUUAUAAGGGAAUAAAGUGAGUCUCGUGAGACUUUUUGCAUGUACCUUAUGAAUAAGGACCGGCUAAUUCCGUG
rnacentral:rRNA from 1 species